CUAGAAGAUUAAUCCAUAUUAU
rnacentral:snRNA from 1 species